rnacentral:hammerhead_ribozyme from 1 species
AUCUAGCUGACGUAUUUCAAAUAGGACAAAACGCGCGUCCUGUAU